rnacentral:piRNA from 1 species
UGUCUAAUGUGGUGACCAUAUAAAAUGU